rnacentral:rRNA from 1 species
GACAGAGGAUGCAAGCGUUAUCCGGAAUGAUUGGGCGUAAAGCGUCUGUAGGUGGCUUUUCAAGUCCGCCGUCAAAUCCCAGGGCUCAACCCUGGACAGGCGGUGGAACUACCAAGCUGGAGUACGGUAGGGGCAGAGGGAAUUUCCGGUGGAGCGGUGAAAUGCAUUGAGAUCGGAAAGAACACCAACGGCGAAAGCACUACUGCUGGGCCGACGACUGACACUGAGAGACGAAAGCUAGGGGAGCAAAUGGGAUUAGGAAACCCCAAGUGAGAU